GUUCUCCAGGUCUGGUCUGAAUUUGGGAGGGCUGACUUGCCUAAUUUUACAGGUGUUGUGCCCAAGAGGAAUGGAGGCGGCCGGGUUUCCUUGCUUCUUUACCAAUCUACUUAUCGGUUUCCUGUUCAACUCCCUUCCUUUGCUUAAUUAAAGCAAUGAAAGGGAUCAGAAUCUAUUGGUGUUAAGAAGUCAGCCUCAGCACUAAGAGAAAGAAGGAAAGAAUGAAGGAAAGAAAGAAAGAACAAUGAAAGCAUUGUAAGAAAUAUUUAUACAGCAAAUGUUACAGAGAAAAACCCCAAACCAAAAUGUAUUUCAAAAAAUGUUGGAGGAAAUGUUAUAUCUUUUUAUGUGCUUAAGAAAACAGUUAAAAAGAACUUCACAGCAUUGGGUCUAUUAAGCACAUUUAUUCCAGUGAUUUCCCAGAUAUUUCCAAGUUCCAUUUAAAACAGAAGUCUCCUAUCAAGGAAUCCUUUGAAAUUAUUUACUCUUUUAUGGUUGUAAAGUAUGGAAAUGUAAUGCUUUUAAUGGAAACCCUAAUAAACGGCACAUGCUACAAAGUGU